UUUCCUAGAACUCAUAAAACUUUCAAUGAAAAUAAUGAAUUUUAAGAAAUAUUUAUAUAUGUGUUCUACAGGUGCUAUCAAACAAUUCAGACAAUCACAGGCAGACAUACAAUUGUUUUGUUAAGUCAAAUAAGGACAAGGUCAUUGUCUGCUGCUGGCCUAUUGAAAUCUUUUUUUUUUGUCUGCAUUUAGUGGUAGCUUUUCAUUGGUCGUCUGUACCACUAUCUGUGCAUGAGUUCUCUAGAUUUUUAGAUGCUUUCCUUAUGCCUGAGUUUUAAAUAGAAUACACACAACUAUCAAACACAAUAAGUUCUCUACAGG